AUUGAACGCUGGCGGCAGGCCUAACACAUGCAAGUCGAACGGUAACAGGAAGAAGCUUGCUUCUUUGCUGACGAGUGGCGGACGGGUGAGUAAUGUCUGGGAAACUGCCUGAUGGAGGGGGAUAACUACUGGAAACGGUAGCUAAUACCGCAUAACGUCGCAAGACCAAAGAGGGGGACCUUCUGGCCCCUUGCCAUCGGAUGUGCCCAGAUGGGAUUAGCUAGUAGGUGGGGUAACGGCUCACCUAGGCGACGAUCCCUAGCUGGUCUGAGAGGAUGACCAGCCACACUGGAACUGAGACACGGUCCAGACUCCUACGGGAGGCAGCAGUGGGGAAUAUUGCACAAUGGGCGCAAGCCUGAUGCAGCCAUGCCGCGUGUAUGAAGAAGGCCUUCGGGUUGUAAAGUACUUUCAGCGGGGAGGAAGGGAGUAAAGUUAAUACCUUUGCUCAUUGACGUUACCCGCAGAAGAAGCACCGGCUAACUCCGUG
rnacentral:rRNA from 1 species